UACAGAGGUCUCAAGCGUUGUUCGGAUUCAUUGGGCGUAAAGGGUGCGUAGGUGGCGGGGUAAGUCAGGUGUGAAAUUUCGGAGCUUAACUCCGAAACUGCAUUUGAUACUGCCUUGCUUGAGGACUGGAGAGGAGACUGGAAUUCACGGUGUAGCAGUGAAAUGCGUAGAGAUCGUGAGGAAGACCAGUGGCGAAGGCGGGUCUCUGGCCCGAUACUGACGCUGAGGUGCGAAAGCGUGGGGAGCAAACAGG
rnacentral:rRNA from 1 species